UAAUACUGAGGGCGCAAGCGUUGUUCGGAAUUACUGGGCGUAAAGGGCAGGUAGGUGGUCUGUUAAGUCUUCUGUGAAAAUCCGGGGCUCAACCCCGCGAAAUGCAGGUGAAACUGGCAGACUUGAGACCGGUAGAGGCUAGCGGAAUUCCUGGUGUAGCGGUGGAAUGCGUAGAUAUCAGGAAGAACACCUGUGGCGAAGGCGGCUAGCUGGGCCGGUUCUGACACUGAGCUGCGAAAGCGUGGGGAGCAAACAGGAUUAGAUACCCUGGUAGUCCACGCUGUAAACGAUGGGCACUAGAUGCCGGGCAUAUAGACGUGUUCGGUGUCGUCGCUAACGCAUUAAGUGCCCCGCCUGGGGAGUACGGUCGCAAGGCUG
rnacentral:rRNA from 1 species